AUAAAAGUGAAAAUGCACUAAUUUUACAUAUGUAACAUGUCUGAAUCUGUGUUUUCAGCUUUUUCGACCUUCGUAUGGUUUUAAUCUGACAGAUCCUUAUUGUCGACUUUUGGAAAACCAAUAUAAAAGUCUCCAUGAUCCACAUUUAAAAGCAUAUUAUAGACGCAAAGAUAUCCUGAGGAGACUGAAGAAAGGUGGCUACAUCACCAACAAUAACAAAAUUGUUUGUAGCUUGAAGGAAUUAAAUAAGUACAGGCAAUAUCUCACCAACUUAAAAUUAGACUUUGAAAGAAACUAUAUAAGAGAACAAAGUAGGAAUAAGCGACAUCUUGGAGGUUGCCAUAUUUCAUCAAGAAGGGGAGAGGGAGAAUCUGUAUCACUGCACCAUCGCUAGCUGGCACGAUUUGGUAAUUAAGGGGCCAGGCAAACCCAUUAGUGCUACCUGACCUGUGACUAAUAAGGACUAUCUAUUGUGACAUCAGGAUUCUACAACUGGAACCCAAAACAGCUUCAGCAACAGAAGAAGGGGAGUAUGAGUAUCCGCACUGUUCUACAAGUGACUCAUAGGACCUACACAUGGUGUUCUUGUCCCUACACACGUGUACUUGUAUUUAUCUAGUAGAAAAUGUUGUUCUUAAACAUGAAUUCGAUUGCUGAGUGUAAAGUGAGUGGGAACAGUGAUUUCCUUUUGAGUUUUGACUCACAGUUGUAUUUGGCACAUGUGUGCCCAAGUGUGUAAAGUGAGUGCAUUCAGGAUUGGAGCAAGAGAGCUCAGAUUGAAGCAAGUGUGGUUUAACAUUUUUAUAUUCUAAGAUUAAUAGAGUAG
rnacentral:lncRNA from 1 species